GAGGAAAGUCCCGCCUCCUGGCCUAAAGGAGUCUCUAUAGAGACAAGGGCAACACCCUUGGCAACUAUACAGAAACAAGUACCUUGAAAGCUACAUGUGAAAAUGAUUGUGCCCCUUCCUCUGGUAACGGAGGAAGAAACAUGAGAGUAGCUUUCAAGGAUGAAAAGAUAGACCUCCUAGGAGCAAGUAGAGGGAAAGAUGAGACUAGGCCCGAUUUCCCUCUAGGACGCAUAGCCAAAUCCCCCAACCAUUACAAAAGCGGGCUUA
rnacentral:RNase_P_RNA from 1 species